rnacentral:rRNA from 1 species
AUUGAACGCUGGCGGCAGGCCUAACACAUGCAAGUCGAGCGAGAGGCGGACGGGUGAGUAAUGUAUGGGCAACUGCCUGAUGGAGGGGGAUAACUACUGGAAACGAUAGCUAAUACCGCAUACCAUCAGAUGUGCCCCGAUGGGAUUAGCUUGUUGGUGGGGUAACGGCUCACCACGGCGACGAUCCCUAGCUGGUCUGAGAGGAUGACCAGCAAGACUGGAACUGAGACACGGUCCAGACUCCUACGGGAGGCAGCAGUGGGGAAUAUUGCACAAUGGGCGCAAGCAUGAUGCAGCCAUGCCGCGUGUGUGAAGAAGGUCUUCGGGUUGUAAAGCACUUUCAGCGGGGAGGCGUUACCCGCAGAAGAAGCACCGGCUAACUCCGUGCCAGCAGCCGCGGUAAUUC